rnacentral:lncRNA from 1 species
CCGCGCCCCCAGCCGUAUUUCCGCGGGCGCUGAGCACUAGAGAGAGCGUCUUGUGGCUGCGGCCUGCCCCUCAGCCUCCUCCGCGCGGUUACCCCUGUACCCGCCGCCAUCCGUCCUGGCGCUCCGGAUGAGUCAAUGAGGGGCAGGGCCCGAGGAGUGGUCUUCCCAAGAACCCCUGGUGGCCUCCCAAGGCCGGUGCUGUGUACCUCCUCCCCGACAAAAGGGGAAACUGAGGCCCCGAGGGGAGUGGGAAGAGCCGGCUGGACGUCAGGCCCAGCCGCUGGUGCAGUGGUCCGUCCCCUCUGCCGGGGUGGGCCCCUCGGGUUUCGCGUGUCCUCGGGAAAGAGACUGGCGGGUGAGCCGCGCCCUCGGCCUUCGCUGGGCUAAGCCGACCCCAUGCAGACGUCAAACCCCCCUAGGCCUCGUGGGCUGUGCGGCUAUCCUGGAGACAGAUGACAGCUCUCCCUUGGAUGGCUUUGCUGGUUCCGCACCAGCCAGCGCCCCCAUUUUUCCUGCAGCACCCUGAUCUGCACUCCCUGAGGGGCUCCCACUGUCCGCGGUGUGAGGAUGUCCCUGGAAAUUGGUCUUCUGUGACUUUCUUGAUGGGGGCAGAUGAGAUCUUUGUACUGCAUUAAGUGGAUAGCGCUCAGGUCCUUUGGGCUUGGCGCUUUGGCAAUCUCCAGGCAGCUCACUUUGGCCUCUGUUCCUGGAUCCCCUUUGCUCUUUUCUGCGCCUGCAUUCAUAGUCCACUGUGUGCAGAGGCAUGGGAGUUGUCAUGUUGGGAACAUGCUAGACCUCAGUAUCCUUGAGGGAUGCUGCCUUGGGUCUGGAAACUGUUAGAGGAAACCCCAAGAGGUGCAGGCACUGAGCCUCUCAGGACAAUGACCUGGGGUCCCAGCUCCCCUGGAGGGGCCUCCUCAUGAUUGUUUGGGGGUUGAUCACAGACCAAGAGUGACGAGUGAUGUCACCCUGUGACUCAUGGCUGGACCUUCUUGCCCCUAUUGUCUCAGCACAACAUUAUUCGACUUUUCCCUCAGCGUGGGUGGGCAGAGGAAAAGCCCUGUGGCUCUGGGGACUUGGGAUCCAGAGUUGAAGACCCUUCAGCUGGCUCUGCCCUGCCAGUGCCACAGAGUGCCAUGGCCCAGGAAGACAGGUUUUCUUCCAUCUAGGCCAGGCCAUCCAGUGGCCAUCCUCCGUGUCCUCCCGCCUCCUCCUGGUGUGACUUCUGAAAACCAAGAAUUUGUUCCUGUUGACUUUUUCUGUGCUAUGGACCAUUGUCCUCUCACCCACUCAAUAAAUCUUGAAACAUG